rnacentral:rRNA from 1 species
CACGUAGGCACCAAGCGUUGUCCGGAUUUAUUGGGCGUAAAGGGCUCGUAGGCGGUUCGGUAAGUCGGGUGUGAAAACUCUGGGCUCAACCCCGAGAGCCGCCACCCGAUACUGCUGUGACUCGAGUGCGGUGAGGGGAGGCGGGAAUUCCUGGUGUAGCGGUGAAAUGCGCAGAUAUCGGGAGGAACACCGAGCGGCGAAGGCGGCCACUCGUG